rnacentral:rRNA from 1 species
UACAUGUGGGGCAAGCGUUGUUCGGAAUUACUGGGCAUAAAGGGUGCGUAGGUGGCUUUUUAAGUCAGGGGUGAAAGUUUUCGGCCCAACCGGAAAAUGGCCUUUGAUACUGGCGAGCUCGAGUGCGUGAGGGGUAACCGGAACGAGCAGUGUAGCGGUGAAAUGCGUAGAUAUUGCUCGGAAGGCCAACGGCGAAGGCAGGUUACUGGUGCACAACUGACACUGAGGCACGAAAGCGUGGGGAGCAAACAGG